ACUUACCAACUUGUGGGACUUCUCAUUGACAUGCGUCGUUCACAACAUCAUGCUGCUAAGGAGAACGAUCCACGUUGCCCAAUUGCUGGACAGGAGUCCGAACUAAUUGGCCCAGGACCUCCUUUUUGUUGCUCCGCAGUUGCCCAGCAUUCUAAGCGGUGCUCCGGGAUGGAAAGGAGCCACAUCCGAGCAGGUGUUGCAACGUGGUUGAGUAAUUUUGGCAUAGUUCCGUGGCUUCGAACUCGACAGACAGCCACGGGAGAUGGCAGAACUUUCCGGAGUACUCCGAUGUUCGCACAGUUGUCAUGGCAUUAUCACGGCCAUUAGGCAUCAGCCACUGAUGCGAGUGUGCACCACCCAUCUGCAGUUCGAAAUUGGUUGCAACUUUUGGACAUAUUAGAGGCAAAGCGGCGGGGCGCCACUGAAAGUUGCGUUCGCUGGGAUGGGAAGUUAGGGGACUCGUGGGUUUUAUUCUGUACACGUUGAGUGGUUUCAAAUUGUGGAUUUAUCUGUAAUUUACAAAGUUAUCAACAAUAGUUAAGUAGUUCGUAUUGUGCAGCAAUGGGUCUUUUAAUUGUCGUUGCAAGCUACGAGUGGCACG
ensembl:ncRNA lncRNA:CR43987 long non-coding RNA:CR43987